GUCUAACCUGCCCACUGAAUUAAUUUAAAUGGCCGCAGUAUUUUAACUGUGCAAAGGUCUUUUAAUUGAAGGCUGGAAUGAAUGGUUGAAUGAAAUGUUAACUGUUUCAUAAAAAUUUUCAAUAAAAUUUUAUUUUUUUAGUCAAAAAGCUAAAAUAAUAUUAAAAGACGAGAAGACCAUAUAAAUCUUUAUAUUUAGGUGAUUUUAAUUAUUUAGAUAAAUUAAAUUAUAAUCAUUACAAAUAUUUUAUUGGGGUGAUAUUAAAAUUUAAUAAACUUUUAAUUUUUUAUUUACAUCAAUUAAUGAAUUUAUUGAUCCAUAAAUUAUGAUUAAAAAAUUAAGUUACUUUAGGGAUAACAGCGUAA
rnacentral:rRNA from 1 species